UACGUAGGGUGCGAGCGUUAAUCGGAAUUACUGGGCGUAAAGCGUGCGCAGGCGGUUCGUUAAGUCAGAUGUGAAAGCCCCGGGCUCAACCUGGGAACUGCAUUUGAAACUGGCGGGCUUGAGUGCGGCAGAGGGGGGUGGAAUUCCGCGUGUAGCAGUGAAAUGCAUAGAGAUGCGGAGGAACACCGAUGGCGAAGGCAGCCCCCUGGGCCGACACUGACGCUCAGGCACGAAAGCGUGGGGAGCAAACAGG
rnacentral:rRNA from 1 species